CCUACGGGUAGCAGCAGUGGGGAAUAUUGGGCAAUGGGCGCAAGCCUGACCCAGCAACGCCGCGUGAAGGAAGAAGGCCCUCGGGUUGUAAACUUCUUUUGUCAGGGACUACGCAAGUGACGGUACCUGACGAAUAAUCCACGGCUAGCUACGUGCCAGCAGCCGCAGUAAUACGUAGGUGGCAAGCGUUAUCCGGAUUUACUGGGUGUAAGGGGCGUGUAGGCGGGGAAGCAAGGCAGAUGUGAAAUUCCAGGGCUCAACCAUGGAACGGCAUGUGAAACUGUUUUUCUUGAGUGAUGGAGAGGCAGGCGGAAUUACGUGUGUAGCGGUGAAAUGCGUAGAGAUACGGAGGAACAACAGUGGCGAAGGCGGCCUGAUGGACAUUAACUGACGCUGAGGCGCGAAAGCGUGGGGAGAAAACAGGAUUAGAUACUCCGGUAGUC
rnacentral:rRNA from 1 species